AUGUAAUAAAUUAUCUCAUUUCUUCACUGACUUGGGAUCCUUGCCUUCAUAUGCCACACACUGGUACUGAAGGAGUUGGCUGGGGAACUGCAGGGUCUCUCCAGUGAUGGCCACUCUGUUGGGGUAUCUAAUGAGAGAGAGACUGGAUGGAGCCAAGAACCACAGUGAAACACUGGAGAACCCAACAUGUCUUCUCCUGACAGAAACUAGACAAAACCAGCAGCUGUUUUCAGACUGAAGACAGUCCAGCACGUAUCGGCCAUGGUGGGUUUGUCUGCAUCACCUUUUACAAGCGGCCCCAAGCCAGCUCUGCCUGGGGUCCCUGUGGGCCAGACGCGGGGUAGCUGUGGUCCUGAAGCAGUGCACCCAGCUUUGAUUCCUGAACCCGUUUCAUCAUUAACACUUACAUGCUCUCCGCAUGUUAGCUCCCGUCACAAGGAAUUGUUAGAACAUCACCGCAGGGUGUUGGAUAACCAAGCCACUGUGUGUGGGAUCAGAGAAAGAGGAUGCCAGGGCUCUACCCUACCACUUGGUGACUCUCAGCAAAGGGAGAGAGGCAGCUGGACUGGCAGGCAGAAGGUGUGCUUCAGGAAACUGCUUCUGGUGACAUUUUUUCCCUAUGCGUUGGCAUGUCAAGAGUUGAGAAGGCAUGGCUUGUCCCCUCUGUUUGAUAUUCUUAAGCAGGGAAUGACAUUUACCUCUUUAAACAGUUUCUCAUUGCAAAGCCAAAUCCACUUCCCCACCACCACCCCAAAACAACCUGUAGCAUAGUUCUCCUGUUAAUCACGGUAAAUUGUGGAUGUGAGGCACGCUGAACCAUGACAGUGCUCCCGUACGCAGUUGUUCUGUGCACUGAAGAAAUAAAUUUUUCAUCAUGUACGGCUUUUAUAUGCUCCUAGUUAUUAUGGGUCCGAUUUUAGGGUCUUGAUGGGAUUACAAGGAAGUGGGAAGCACUCUGCCUGCUCUGGGAUUUUAAGUGCAGACAUCCGGAAUAUUCUGAGGAGCUUUGAAUAUUCUAAGGUUUACGAUUGAGCUGUGACCAAUGUGUCAGCAGUGCUUCAUGGCUGCACGCGUGCUUGAGCUAAAGUGUUCAGUUUAAUAAAAUGUUGCAUCUGGACGAGAAUUUACUUUUCCAUCGCACU